CCUACGGGAGGCAGCAGUGGGGAAUAUUGGACAAUGGGGGGAACCCUGAUCCAGCCAUGCCGCGUGUGUGAAGAAGGCCCUCGGGUUGUAAAGCACUUUCAGUGAGGAAGAACGCCUUGUGGUUAAUACCCAUCAGGAAAGACAUCACUCACAGAAGAAGCACCGGCUCACUCCGUGCCAGCAGCCGCGGUAAUACGGCGGGUGCGAGCGUUAAUCGGAAUUACUUGGCGUAAAGCGCGCGUAGGUGGCUUGAUAAGCCGGUUGUGAAAGCCCCGGGCUCAACCUGGGAACGGCAUCCGGAACUGUCAAGCUAGAGUGCAGGAGAGGAAGGUAGAAUUCCCGGUGUAGCGGUGAAAUGCGUAGAGAUCGGGAGGAAUACCAGUGGCGAAGGCGGCCUUCUGGACUGACACUGACACUGAGGUGCGAAAGCGUGGGUAGCAAACAGGAUUAGAUACCCCGGUAGUC
rnacentral:rRNA from 1 species